rnacentral:tRNA from 1 species
GGCCAAGUGGCGAAACUGGAAGACGCGCGACUCUCAGAAAGUCGUUCCCACAGGGAUUGCGAGUUCGAAUCUCGCCUUGGCAAC